GAUGAACGCUGGCGGCGUGCCUAAUACAUGCAAGUCGAGCGAACGGACGAGAAGCUUGCUUCUCUGAUGUUAGCGGCGGACGGGUGAGUAACACGUGGAUAACCUCCCUAUAAGACUGGGAUAACUUCGGGAAACCGGAGCUAAUACCGGAUGAUAUUUUGAACCGCAUGGUUCAAAAGUGAAAGACGGUCUUGCUGUCACUUAUAGAUGGAUCCGCGCUGCAUUAGCUAGUUGGUAAGGUAACGGCUUACCAAGGCAACGAUGCAUAGCCGACCUGAGAGGGUGAUCGGCCACACUGGAACUGAGACACGGUCCAGACUCCUACGGGAGGCAGCAGUAGGGAAUCUUCCGCAAUGGGCGAAAGCCUGACGGAGCAACGCCGCGUGAGUGAUGAAGGUCUUCGGAUCGUAAAACUCUGUUAUUAGGGAAGAACAUAUGUGUAAGUAACUGUGCACAUCUUGACGGUACCUAAUCAGAAAGCCACGGCUAACUACGUG
rnacentral:rRNA from 1 species